UAUUAUGAGAGUUUGAUCCUGGCUCAGGACGAACGCUGGCGGCGUGCCUAAUACAUGCAAGUCGAACGCUUCUUUCCUCCCGAGUGCUUGCACUCAAUUGGAAAGAGGAGUGGCGGACGGGUGAGUAACACGUGGGUAACCUACCCAUCAGAGGGGGAUAACACUUGGAAACAGGUGCUAAUACCGCAUAACAGUUUAUGCCGCAUGGCAUAAGAGUGAAAGGCGCUUUCGGGUGUCGCUGAUGGAUGGACCCGCGGUGCAUUAGCUAGUUGGUGAGGUAACGGCUCACCAAGGCCACGAUGCAUAGCCGACCUGAGAGGGUGAUCGGCCACACUGGGACUGAGACACGGCCCAGACUCCUACGGGAGGCAGCAGUAGGGAAUCUUCGGCAAUGGACGAAAGUCUGACCGAGCAACGCCGCGUGAGUGAAGAAGGUUUUCGGAUCGUAAAACUCUGUUGUUAGAGAAGAACAAGGACGUUAGUAACUGAACGUCCCCUGACGGUAUCUAACCAGAAAGCCACGGCUAACUACGUGCCAGCAGCCGCGGUAAUACGUAGGUGGCAAGCGUUGUCCGGAUUUAUUGGGCGUAAAGCGAGCGCAGGCGGUUUCUUAAGUCUGAUGUGAAAGCCCCCGGCUCAACCGGG
rnacentral:rRNA from 1 species